rnacentral:rRNA from 1 species
GGGGGAAAUGUGGACAAUGGGCGAAAGCCUGAUCCAGCAAUGCCGAGUGUGGGAAGAAGGCCGUGGGGUUGUAAAGCAGUGGUGUCCGGAAAGAAAGGGCGAGGGUGAAGACGUGGGGUAGAGGACGGCAACGGAAGAAGAAGGAGCGGAGAACGAAGUGCCAGCAGCCGCGGUAAUACGUAGGGUCCAAGCGUUAAUCGGAAUUACGGGGCGUAAAGCGUGCGCAGGCGGUUGUGCAAGACCGAUGUGAAAUCCCCGAGCUUAACUUGGGAAUUGCAUUGGUGACUGCACGGCUAGAGUGUGUCAGAGGGGGGUAGAAUUCCACGUGUAGCAGUGAAAUGCGUAGAGAUGUGGAGGAAUACCGAUGGCGAAGGCAGCCCCCUGGGAUAACACUGACGCUCAUGCACGAAAGCGUGGGGAGCAAACAGG